rnacentral:lncRNA from 1 species
UUUAUUAGGUUGGGCGGAAUUUUUUUUUCAUAUUUAUCGCCCCUUUUUUAAGGAUAUCUAAUUCAUUAUUGGUCACAUCGGAUCAUACGAUAAGGUGUUGUAAAGGUAUGAGAGUAUAACACAAACGCUUUUGGACAGUAUUGCGCUUGGGCGGUUCAGUUGUGAAUUAUAGUGCGUUGAGUAAGGAGGUCUUACAGAAAGAAAUUCGUCAAAUUUUCAUUUUUACUACCUGGAAGAAAAAAACGCGUCGAAAGCGACCAAGAAAACUUGCGAUGUAUACGGGGUAGAUACUCUUUCGGUCCCUGUUGCACUACAGUGGUUCGAGCAAUUUUCCUCCACUCAAUUCUGCCGUCUACUGUGAACUAUUCGACCGUUUGAAGCUAACGAUCGAACAAAAGCGGGCAGCAUUGGAACAAGGUCUUCUACAAGAAUGGCAGUAUGAAGUUAUCGAACAGAACGGACAUACAUGGAUUAAAUCGGAUGAUUAUAAUACUUUUUAUAAAGCAUUGAUAUAAAGGGGAAAAUACGCAAUUACUUUUACCCAAUAGUAAUAAUAAUAUGUGAUAUUCAAUGUAACGUAUAGUUUAAAAUAUAUAGUUCUAA